GCGGAGGUAGCCAAGCCUGGUCAAAGGCGCAAGACUCAAGUUAUUGAGUAUUGAUACAAAGAUGAUAUAAGAAAUCUUGUCCCUUAGUGGGUUCGCAGGUUCAAAUCCUGCCUUCCGCA
rnacentral:tRNA from 1 species